AGUUGGUGGAGUGAUUUGUCUGGUUAAUUCCGAUAACGAACGAGACUCUAGCCUGCUAAAUAGACGGGCGAUCCCUUUGUGGGUCGACCCGAUUUGCUUCUUAGAGGGACAAGUGGCGUUCCUAGCCACGCGAAAUUGAGCAAUAACAGGU
rnacentral:rRNA from 1 species